GAAACUCUGUAGAGAAAAUGACUCAAUUUUCGUCAACAAAUAAAUUGCAAGAAACAAAAAGAAAUGAGGGAGAACUUAUGGAUUAAAAGAUUUAUAAGAGACAUAACAACCAAAGGUCCAGGGAUAUGAUUUCAAAGCUCAUGUGGAAUGAAGACUGCCCCACCUGAAAGCAAUCUACCCAAGUAAAAAGAAGAAGGAAGAAAAGAAAAGGGCAGAAUGCAACUGAAGCCCACAAUUUGGGAUAUCUAGGAUGGGGAG
rnacentral:lncRNA from 10 species